GGAUAAGAAACCAAGGGCUGAUGGUGGAUACCUUGGCACUCAGAGGCGAUGAAGGACGUGGUUACCGACGAAACGCUCCGGGGAGCUGGCAACAAGCUGUGAUCCGGAGGUCUCCGAAUGGGGCAACCCCCAGCACGACUGGCUGAAUCCAUAGGCUAGUGCGAGCGAACCCGGCGAAUUGAAACAUCUUAGUAGCCGGAGGAAAAGAAAACAACCGUGAUUCCCCUAGUAGCGGCGAGCGAACGGGGAUUAGCCCAAACCAGGUGGCUUGCCAUCUGGGGUUGUGGGACGGCAUACGGGAGCGGACGGGUUAGACGAAGUGUUUGAAUGGCACACCGGAGGAGGUGAAAGUCCUGUAGUCUAAAACUCGAAUGCCCUAGCCGGAUCCCGAGUAGCACGGGAGCUAACCCGUGUGAAUCUGCGAGGCCCACCUCGUAAGGCUAAAUACUCCUGAGUGACCGAUAGUGCAACAGUACCGCGAGGGAAAGGUGAAAAGAACCCCGGACAGGGGAGUGAAAGAGAACAUGAAACCAUCAGCUUACAAGCAGUAGGAGGCCGAUUAAAACGGCUGACUGCGUGCCUGUUGAAGAAUGAGCCGGCGACUUAUAAGCACCUGGCAGGUUAAGCCGAAAAUGGCGAAGCCAUAGGGAAACCGAGUCUGAAUAGGGCGUUUGUCAGUGUUUAUAGACCCGAACCCGGGUGAUCUAACCAUGGCCAGGAUGAAGCUUGGGUAACACCAAGUGGAGGUCCGAACCGACCGAUGUUGAAAAAUCGGCGGAUGAGCUGUGGUUAGGGGUGAAAUGCCAAUCGAACCCGGAGCUAGCUGGUUCUCCCCGAAAUGUGUUGAGGCGCAGCGGUUGCUAUACCGGUUGGGGGUAGAGCACUGUUUCGGUGCGGGCGGCGAGAGCUGUACCAAAUCGAGGCAAACUCCGAAUACCAAUCGUUCAGGCAGCUAGUGAGACGGUGGGGGAUAAGCUUCAUCGUCAAGAGGGAAACAGCCCAGACCACCAGCUAAGGUCCCUAAAUUGUGGCUAAGUGGCAAAGGAGGUGGGAGUGCAUAGACAACCAGGAGGUUGGCCCAGAAGCAGCCACCCUUAAAAGAGUGCGUAAUAGCUCACUGGUCAAGCGCUCCUGCGCCGAAAAUGAACGGGACUAAGCCAUGUACCGAAGCUGUGGACAGGAAACUGUGGUAGGGGAGCGUUCUGGGUGGGGCGAAGCAUCAGCGGAAGCAGGUGUGGACUGCCCAGAAGUGAGAAUGUCGGCUUGAGUAGCGAAAACAUUGGUGAGAAUCCAAUGCCCCGAAAACCCAAGGGUUCCGCCGCCAGGUUCGUCCGCGGCGGGUGAGUCAGGGCCUAAGGCGAGGCCGAAAGGCGUAGUCGAUGGACAACGGGUGAAUAUUCCCGUACCGUGUGUGGAUUGUGCUGGGGGACGGAGGAGGCUAGGCCAGCGAGAUGUUGGUUACUCGUGUAAGCGUUCAACGCUGUGAGGGACGGUGAAAACGUCCUGAGCCGAGGCGUGAGUCCGAGGAACUACGGUUCCGAAGUGGUUGAGGUCACACUCCCGAGAAAAGCCCAAACACGUUAAGCACACGCCUGUACCCGAAACCGACACAGGUGGGUUGGUAGAGGAUACCAAGGGGCGCGAGCUAACUCUCUCUAAGGAACUCGGCAAAAUGGCCCCGUAAGUUCGCAAGAAGGGGUGCCCCCGCGAGGGGGUCGCAGUGAAGAGGCUCUGGCAACUGUUUACCAAAAACACAGGUCUCCGCUAAGUCGCAAGACGACGUAUGGGGGCUGACGCCUGCCCAGUGCCGGAAGGUUAAGGAAGUUGGUCAGGAAACGAAGCUGACGACCGAAGCCCCGGUGAACGGCGGCCGUAACUAUAACGGUCCUAAGGUGAAUUGGUCGCCUUAGUAAAACUGAACCAUAUGCGGGAAUAUCCUCGUACAGCUUGGCUCUACUCGUUUAGUUAGGCACGGAAGUAAUUUUUUAACUUCAAUCGUGCUGUUAAGCUAGGCAGUUAAAAUGAGCAAGACAGGGGGACAAUCCGCAGGAAAGACCUAGAAGUUGAAUCAAUUUCUAGGAAUCCCCAGAGACUUAAUGUUCAGGUACGGCUAAUGAAUUUGGAAACGCAGUGGAUUGUUGGUUUUGUGGAUGGGGAGGGCUGUUUUCAUGUGAGCAUUAAUCCUCACAAGGAAAUGGCUGUCGGGUACCAAGUGUUACCCGAAUUUACUGUCGUGCAACACCAACGGGAUGUGCAGGUGCUUCAUGGCUUGAAAGCCUAUUUUGGCUGUGGGGUAGUGCGGGUCAAUCACGGUGACCGCAUGGCCUAUCGAGUCAGGAGUAUCGAACAUCUUGCUCAACGGAUUGUGCCUUUUUUCCUCAAGCAUCCGUUAAAGACGAGUAAAAACAUUGAUUUCCUGAAGUUUCGGGAUGUGGUUUUGCUUUGUCAGGCGGGUGAGCAUUUGACGGAAACAGGCAUGAUCAAAAUUCAGCAGAUCACUGCCAAAAUGAAUCGCAGUCGUACAAGAUAAAGUCCAGCUUUGUUGGAAACAGCAAGGAACAACUGAGCGAAAUUCCUUGUCGGGUAAGUUCCGACCCGCACGAAAGGCGUAAUGAUCAGAGCGCUGUCUCGGAGAGAGGCUCGGCGAAAUAGACUUGUCCGUGAAGAUGCGGACUACCUGUACCUGGACAGAAAGACCCUAUGAAGCUUUACUGUAGCCUGGAAUUGGGUUUUGGCUUGCUUUGCGUAGGAUAGGUGGGAGGCUGUGAAGGUGCCCUUGUGGGGGUGCUGGAGCCAACGGUGAAAUACCACUCUGAGCAGGCUGAGAUUCUAACCCUGACCCGUGAGCCGGGCGGGGAACCGUUUCAGGUGGGCAGUUUGACUGGGGCGGUCGCCUCCUAAAAGGUAACGGAGGCGCGCAAAGGUUCCCUCAGGCUGGUCGGAAAUCAGCCGUAGAGUGCAAAGGCAUAAGGGAGCUUGACUGCAAGACCUACAAGUCGAGCAGGGUGGAAACACGGCCUUAGUGAUCCGACGGCACCGCGUGGAAGGGUCGUCGCUCAACGGAUAAAAGUUACUCUAGGGAUAACAGGCUGAUCUCCCCCAAGAGUCCACAUCGACGGGGAGGUUUGGCACCUCGAUGUCGGCUCAUCGCAACCUGGGGCUGUAGUCGGUCCCAAGGGUUGGGCUGUUCGCCCAUUAAAGCGGUACGUGAGCUGGGUUCAGAACGUAAAUCAUUGCGUCACUGUGCAGUAAUGUGCAGUAGCAAACCGACUAAAAUCGGUAAAACCUUAUUCUGGGCACCGAACCCUGGGGUAAGGCCAUACCGAGGGUAAGUAGGAUACCUGUACCAUGUCCAGUCCAGAGGUAUUGAGUUACAUUGCUGGUUUUUUGGAUGGGGGUGGGUGUAUCAAUGUGCAGUUGGUGCGUCGUAAGGACUACCGGCUGGGCUAUCAGAUACGACCCAGUAUCACCUUCUUCCAAAAACAAAAACAUCGGGUGUUUUUAGAGUGGUUGCAAUCGGUGUUUAACGUAGGUUGCAUCCGGGAACGCAAAGAUGGAAUGAGUGAAUAUAGUGUGGUGGAUGUCAAAUCGGUGGAAGCGAUUUUGACGCAACUUAAACCCUAUAUUCGCCUGAAGCAAAAGCAAUGUGAUUUGAUGUUGGAAAUUGUGGCGGAACUAAAGCAUUCUGCCCGUUUAUCCCCUCAGGAUUUUUUGACCCUGGCGAGAAAAGUGGAUGUUUUUGAGGAGUUGAAUGAUUCCAAAAAACGUACCAUUAAAUCGAGUCAGGUGGCGGAAUUCAUGCGUGUACGGCAUAUCCUAAUCCCGUAGAGACUGAGACCUAGGCUGGGCUAACCCCCCAGCGUAAGUUGAGAAGCCUUGUGGAUCAAGGUAUUCAAAUGUCGGCUCCUGUUUUCGCUAAGGGUGAGAAGCAGGAUGAAGAUAUAGUCCAUGCCCGUAGUGAUACGGAACACCAUGCGUGAGACAGUUCGGUCCAUAUCCGGUAUAGGCGUUGGAGUAUUGAGAGGAGCCCUCCUUAGUACGAGAGGACCGGGAGGGACGCACCGCUGGUGUACCUGUUAUCGUGCCAACGGUAAACGCAGGGUAGCCAUGUGCGGAGUGGAUAACCGCUGAAAGCAUCUAAGUGGGAAGCCCACCUCAAGAUGAGUACUCCUAGGUCACAGGCAGACGACCUGUUGAUAGGCAUCAGGUGUACGUGCAGUAAUGCAUUCAGCCGAGAUGUCCUAAUAGACCGUAUCACUUGUUCAU
rnacentral:rRNA from 1 species